AGUAUACUGCGAAACUGCGAAUGGCUCAUUAAAUCAGUUAUCGUUUAUUUGAUAGUACCCACUACUUGGAUAACCGUGGUAAUUCUAGAGCUAAUACAUGCGCAAAAGCCCGACGCAAGAAGGGCUGUAUUUAUUAGAUAAAAAACCAAUGCCCUCUGGGCUGUGUGGUGAUUCAUAAUAACUUAACGAAUCGCAUGGCCUUGCGCCGGCGAUGGUUCAUUCAAAUUUCUGCCCUAUCAACUUUCGAUUGGUGAGUAGUGUUCACCAAUGGUGUCGACGGGUAACGAAGAAUUAGGGUUCGAUCUCGGAGAGGACGCCUGAGAAACGGCGUACACAUCCAAGGAAGGCAGCAGGCGCGCAAAUUACCCAAUCCCGAUACGGGGAGGUAGUGACAAUAAAUACUGAUGCAGGGCUCUUUUGGGUCUUGCAAUUGGAAUGAGUACAACUUAAAUCCCUUAACGAGGAACAAUUGGAGGGCAAGUCUGGUGCCAGCAGCCGCGGUAAUUCCAGCUCCAAUAGCGUAUAUUAAAGUUGUUGCAGUUAAAAAGCUCGUAGUUGAAACUUGGGCCUGGCUGGCCGGUCCGCCUCACCGCGUGUACUGGACCGGCCGGGCCUUUCCUUCUGGGGAAAUCCAUGGCCUUCAUUGGCUGUGCGAGGGAACCAGGACUUUUACUUUGAAAAAAUUAGAGUGUUCAAAGCAGGCAUUUGCUCGAAUACAUUAGCAUGGAAUAAUGGAAUAGGACGGCUUUCCUAUUUUGUUGGUUUCUAGGAGAGCCGUAAUGAUUAAUAGGGAUAGUCGGGGGCAUCAGUAUUCAAUUGUCAGAGGUGAAAUUCUUGGAUUUAUUGAAGACUAACUACUGCGAAAGCAUUUGCCAAGGAUGUUUUCAUUAAUCAGUGAACGAAAGUUAGGGGAUCGAAGACGAUCAGAUACCGUCGUAGUCUUAACCAUAAACUAUGCCGACUAGGGAUCGGUGGAUGUUAUUUUAUGACUCCAUCGGCACCUUACCGAGAAAUCAAA
rnacentral:rRNA from 1 species